rnacentral:rRNA from 1 species
UACGUAGGUGGCAAGCGUUGUCCGGAUUUACUGGGCGUAAAGAGCGCGCAGGCGGUCGUUCAAGUCGCGUGUGAAAGCCCCCGGCUCAACUGGGGAGGGUCACGCGAUACUGAUCGACUCGAAGGCGGGAGAGGGAAGCGGAAUUCCCGGUGUAGUGGUGAAAUGCGUAGAUAUCGGGAGGAACACCAGUGGCGAAGGCGGCUUCCUGGCCCGUUCUUGACGCUGAGGCGCGAAAGCUAGGGGAGCAAACGGG